rnacentral:rRNA from 1 species
UACGAAGGGUGCAAGCGUUGCUCGGAAUUAUUGGGCGUAAAGGGUUGGUAGGUGGUCUUGUUUGUCUAAGGUGAAAUCCCUCGGCUUAACCGGGGAACUGCGUCUGAUACUGGAUGGCUUGAGUGUGGGAGAGGGAUGCGGAAUUCCAGGUGUAGCGGUGAAAUGCGUAGAUAUCUGGAGGAACACCGGUGGCGAAGGCGGCAUCCUGGACCACGACUGACGCUGAGUGAGCGAAAGCCAGGGGAGCAAACGGG